GCGGUUAAAAAGCUCGUAGUUGGAUUUCUGUCGAGGGCGGGCGGUCCGCACUAUGUGCGUGUAUCUUGUUCGGUCUUGGCAUCCUCUUGGGGAAUGCUUCUGUGCUUGAUUGCAUGGGGUGGAAUUCAAGACUUUUACUUUGAGGAAAUUAGAGUGUUCACGGCAAGCUACCGCUUUGUAUACAUUAGCAUGGAAUAAUAAUAUAGGGCGUAAGUUCUAUUUUGUUGGUUUCUAGGACAUACGCACAUGAUUAAUAGGGACAAUUGGGGGCAUUCGUAUUAACGCCUCAGAAGUGGAAUUCUUAGAUUGCGUUACGACGAACUACUGCGAAAGCAUUUGCCAAAGAUGUUUUCAUUGAUCAAGAACGAAAGUAUGGGGAUCGAAGA
rnacentral:rRNA from 1 species